rnacentral:lncRNA from 1 species
CUCAUUGAAGUUUCCCAUGACUAAUCCCAUCAAACUCAUCUCUUUACUUGGUUUUCGACCAUCCAUUUCUAUAAAAUCCAUUCAUCAAGCAUAUAAUUGCUGGAGGGCACAGCCAUGCAGCGCAGAGCAUCUUUGGUUUUGAUGCACUCCUCAGUGUCAUUUGCUUUCCAGUGAAAACUGUCUCGGUUCAACAACCCAUCAGUACACCGUACAAACUAUAAUGGCGUACCCACCAUCCGGAAACCAGCAAAAUUUUGACUCUCUGACC